rnacentral:lncRNA from 1 species
AUUCGGAACGCGCCGAAUCAAACGCUUGUAUUCAUUCUUAUUGAUAAUAUGACCUUUUACAAUAGAUCCUAUUUAUCACGGAUUUACUUAACCUAUUACAAACGAAUAGUUAACCCCGACAAAGAACGACUCUAAGCCUAAUCUCUCUUCUCUAUUCUAACCACAUACUUGUGAAGACAAAGAGAGAUCUACACACUCCCUUCUCAGCUUUUCAGUUAGCUGCAAUGUAUA